rnacentral:rRNA from 1 species
UACGUAGGGACCGAGCGUUGUCCGGAAUCAUUGGGCGUAAAGAGCGUGUAGGCGGCCAGGUAGGUCUGCUGUGAAAACUCGAGGCUCAACCUCGAGACGUCGGCGGAAACCAUCUGGCUAGAGUCCGGAAGAGGAGAGUGGAACUCCUGGUGUAGCGGUGGAAUGCGCAGAUAUCAGGAAGAACACCGACGGCGAAGGCAGCUCGCUGGGACGGUACUGACGCUGAGGCGCGAAAGCGUGGGGAGCGAACAGG